AUUGAACGCUGGCGGCAGGCCUAACACAUGCAAGUCGAACGAGCGGCGGACGGGUGAGUAAUGUCUGGGAAACUGCCUGAUGGAGGGGGAUAACUACUGGAAACGGUAGCUAAUACCGCAUACCAUCGGAUGUGCCCAGAUGGGAUUAGCUAGUAGGUGGGGUAAAGGCUCACCUAGGCGACGAUCCCUAGCUGGUCUGAGAGGAUGAUCAGCCAAACUGGGACUGAGACACGGUCCAGACUCCUACGGGAGGCAGCAGUGGGGAAUAUUGCACAAUGGGCGCAAGCCUGAUGCAGCCAUGCCGCGUGUAUGAAGAAGGCCUUAGGGUUGUAAAGUACUUUCAGCGGGGAGGCGUUACCCGCAGAAGAAGCACCGGCUAACUCCGUGCCAGCCGCCGCGGUAAUAC
rnacentral:rRNA from 1 species